rnacentral:misc_RNA from 1 species
GGAAUACCUUGUGCUGUCUUGUUGGCCUUUUAUCUUCGCAUUGGUGGGAAGGGAUUAUGGUUGGGUAUUAUCUGUGCACUUCUAGUACAAGUGUUGUCUCUUCUUUUCAUUACCAUACGCACCAACUGGGAAGCAGAAGCAAAGAAGGCUCAAGAGAGAGUGGAAGAAACAACAUUACCAGUGGAGAUAGUGUACUGACGUGAACAAAAGAGAUUUUUGACGUAUGGUUUAACGUCUAAGAACUCUUAAUUCAAUUUUGUAGCUCUGAUAUGUGGCAUAUUAUGGACUAAAAAUCAAUGGCUUUUA